UGGAUUGCAAUAUAAGACGGAAGAAAAUGCUACUUGUCACCUUCUAUUCGAUUCUUAGAAGAAAUAACUUUUUGACGUUACUCUUGACAACAAUGCAGACGGUCGAAAGGUUUUGUUUUCGCUUGACUUCGCGCCACCUUCGCUUUCGCGUUUCAGUAGUUUCGUUAUCACGUAGUGCUGCACCGAUUGCUGGUUUACGAAACUUGCAUAAACUGCAAGUAGCAGUGAAUGAGGUCCAUCGUGAUGGGCGUCAAAGAUCAUGUUUAUGAUUCAGUGCACACUUUCCCUUCCUCUUUCGCACUGUCAGCUUCUUCUUUGCUCGGUUUCCAACUGCGCUUUUGCGUUUUACGCAAGAAAUCGUAGCGCCGGCUGUUGGACGCCGUUUUACUCACCGACGACAGUAAAGGGCAGUGAUGGUGUAUACGUUACAUCAAGGCUCCCCACUCGGGGGUGGUCAAUUUGAAUUGCGCUAAAGAUAUGCGGACCCUUCAGACACCGUUUUAUUUUAAACUAAGUCUUUUCUUGGCAUAAAACAAUCACUGCGAGGUUUCUGAAAUGGUAUUUUAACAGUCCAUGUCGAAAUAAUAUUUGCCAUUAGUGUCCCUUUAAAGUACGUUUUCUGGUAGCAAAAAUGUAAAAUACUCAGUGAGAGCAGCUUGAAAUGGCACGUUCUGGAUGCACAUGCAUGUUUUAGUCAACGGCUUGGUUUGGUUUACCCGCAGCUGGCAAAGCCAACAUGCCAAUUUCAUGUGAUCACACCAAUCACACUCACUGUUACUUAUUACGUGCACAGCAAGUGUUUGUAAUUCAGCAAUCUUCAUAUUGGCAUGUAUGGGCACGGCGCACCGUAGGUCGGCAUACCCAUUCACGAGUACAAUAACUCACGAUUGCUCUGCACUCAUUUCUCAGGCAAGUUGAUGCGACUAUGAACGGGAGUGAGUGCCAAUUAAUGCGAGUAUGAAUGAAAGUCAGCGACGGUGAGUUUGACUAUAUGUGUGUGUGAAUGUGGGCGACUGUCGGCCAGUGUGAGUGAACGGGAGCCUGUAUGUGAGAGUGCCAGGAAGUGGAAGUAGAAGCAACUAAGACACGAGUGAGUGUUGGUGGUUAUGAGUGGGGGCGAUUAGGAACCUGAGUGAGUACCGACGAGUGUGAAUGCACAUGAGUGUGAGUGAAUGCAUAUCCUAUAAAAGUGUUGAUGAGCUAGUAUUCACUUAUUCUGCCAACCUAUGCUGCGCACGGCCAACUCACAAUCGAUAUCGACAGGAGACCCUUUGCUGGUCAGUUUGGCAAAAAUGUCUGCCGUAGAUUUGCAUAUGUUUGAGGGUUAGUACGAAACGAAUAGACUCGCUCAUAAUUUACGCAGUACAAUCACGUUAAAUGGAAUCUCAAAAUACUAAAGAAUUAUGCUCGAUUUAACAGGAGUUUCGUUUACUGAGAAACAUUUGUCGGGGUGCAGCACUAUGUUUCAUGCACCCUCUUAACACUGUUUUCAGAAAGGUUAAUCAUCAAGGAGAGACUGUAGCAGCUGCAAGUUCUUACAAAAAUAGAAAAUGACAAGGUGCUUUGGCACAUCAUUCACAAAAUUUGUUCUGCUACUACUUGCUAUGCAUUAGAAACUUGACGCUUGGGACAGGCUUUGAGAACAUUUUGGAUCCUGAUUCUUUCCGAAAAAAGAAAAGGGAAAAAAAUUUCACACUUUCAGUGCCAAUUCCGUUUGUUGAAGUGCCGCAAUAUCGACAUGCGUCCAUGUUUAUCAUUUUCCUGUCACUGGCUAACAAAUGUUAAAAGUUAUCGUGCGGCGCAAGACGUGUCUGCAUGUAUCCGAACAUUCUCGAUUGUUUUAGCCGAUUUUAUCUGUUGUCUACGUUAACGGAGAACACUGUAAUCAGACCGCAUGCGUGACAUGAAUAGUGUUGUACUUUCCGGAAGGUACACUAGCACUAGCAAUUACACUGGAACCAUAGACGAGUCAUGUAUAAAUAGCCAACAUGUCUGAUCCAGCAGAUCAUAUUUCGACGAUCAACGAGUGUGCUCGCCGCUAUCAUUGUGUUACUUGUUUUGCUGGGCACAGGUUCGCCCAAUAAACAGUUAGUUUCGUUACUUGCGUUGUGCUACUGUGGUUGUUUGCCAUCACUACAACAUGAAAAUAUCAUCUGAGGUUUCGUUUUUGACAGAAAUGUGAAAAUUUUGGUUCCGAUCAAUAAUUUUUUUUGCAUUACCGAAAUACAAACUAAUUUAGGGCCAAUUGUUCUAUUUAAGCGAUUUGCGUUUACCAGGACUCUGCUAUGUUGAUAGCUAUUCGAUGAGGACAUCAACGUUUUUGUGUUCUAAUGAAUCUGCAGGUAAUAAUCAGGCAACCUUAUAUUCUUUCUGUACAUAUCCACAGAUAUUAAACAAAACAUAUAAAAUAGCAUGAAUUUUAAGAGUUUUGGCAGAAUUAAGAACUGGCAAUUGCAAGCCAGCAUAUUUUGUAACUGCACAGCGAGAAAUUUGUUCUCAACAAAACUAUUAUUGCAAUCUUUUGCAGAGAGCAUCCGACUGCUUGGCGGCAUCUGAUUACAUGCAUCUUUAGGACGGGUACUUGCUGGCCCAUCAGAUCAUCUGCAUGGGCUUAUUCAAGAUGUGAAAAUCUGUUCACAAGCUGCUUCAGCACUCUGGAGCUUCAUCACAAGAGCUUUCGAGGUGUGGAUGUGCUAACCAGGAGAAUUCGCAAGGCAUGUGCAGUGCACUCUCGAUGCGAGAUGGCCGCUCGGGUGCCUGGAGCUAUGUCACUUGGAGAAACCAAUCGGCGCACGCGGUUGUCUGAUCGUCUUGCUGCCGAGAGGGCUCAUCACGGCACCCCAUGGCGGCCACAAUAUCUACGUUAUGCAGCAUGUUGGUGCGAUCUCCGAGGUUACGCUCAGCAGACGCCGCUACGUGCAGCUGGCAUGUCCAGACCAAAAGUGCAAACAUAAAAUACUUUU